GAUGAACGCUGGCGGCGUGCCUAAUACAUGCAAGUCGAGCGAAUGGAUUAAGAGCUUGCUCUUAUGAAGUUAGCGGCGGACGGGUGAGUAACACGUGGGUAACCUGCCCAUAAGACUGGGAUAACUCCGGGAAACCGGGGCUAAUACCGGAUAACAUUUUGAACCGCAUGGUUCGAAAUUGAAAGGCGGCUUCGGCUGUCACUGAUGGAGGGACCCGCGUCGCAUUAGCUAGUUGGUGAGGUAACGGCUCACCAAGGCAACGAUGCGUAGCCGACCUGAGAGGGUGAUCGGCCACACUGGGACUGAGACACGGCCCAGACUCCUACGGGAGGCAGCGGUAGGGAAUCUUCCGCAAUGGACGAAAGUCUGACGGAGCAACGCCGCGUGAGUGAUGAAGGCUUUCGGGUCGUAAAACUCUGUUGUUAGGGAAGAACAAGUGCUAGUUGAAUAAGCUGGCACCUUGACGGUACCUAACCAGAAAGCCACGGCUAACUACGUGCCAGCCGCCGCAGUAA
rnacentral:rRNA from 1 species